CGGACGGGUGAGUAACACGUGGAUAACCUACCUAUAAGACUGGGAUAACUUCGGGAAACCGGAGCUAAUACCGGAUAAUAUAUUGAACCGCAUGGUUCAAUAGUGAAAGACGGCUUUGCUGUCACUUAUAGAUGGAUCCGCGCCGCAUUAGCUAGUUGGUAAGGUAACGGCUUACCAAGGCAACGAUGCGUAGCCGACCUGAGAGGGUGAUCGGCCACACUGGAACUGAGACACGGUCCAGACUCCUACGGGAGGCAGCAGCC
rnacentral:rRNA from 1 species